CCUACGGGUGGCAGCAGUGAGGAAUAUUGGUCAAUGGUCGGGAGACUGAACCAGCCAAGCCGCGUGAGGGAGGAAGGUACAGAGUAUCGUAAACCUCUUUUGUCAGGGAACAAAGGCGGGGACGUGUCCCCGGAUGAGUGUACCUGAAGAAAAAGCAUCGGCUAACUCCGUGCCAGCAGCCGCGGUAAUACGGAGGAUGCGAGCGUUAUCCGGAUUUAUGGGGUUAAAAGGGUGCGCAGGCGGUCUGUUAAGUCAGCGGUCAAAGCCCGGGGCCAAACCCCGGCCCGCCGUUGAAACUGGCAGUCUCGAGUUGGAGAGAAGUAUGCGGAAUGCGCGGUGUAGCGGGGAAAGGCGUAGAUAUUAGGAGGAACACCAGUGGCGAAGGCGGCUUACUGGACUGUAACUGACGUUGAGGCUCGAAAGCGUGGGGAGCAAACAGGAUUAGAUACCCCAGUAGUC
rnacentral:rRNA from 1 species